rnacentral:rRNA from 1 species
GACGAACGCUGGCGGCGUGCUUAACACAUGCAAGUCGAACGAUGAAGCCGGAGCUUGCUCUGGUGAAUUAGUGGCGAACGGGUGAGUAACACGUGAGUAACCUGCCCAUAAGACUGGGAUAACUCCGGGAAACCGGGGCUAAUACCGGAUAACAUUUUGAACCGCAUGGUUCGAAAUUGAAAGGCGGCUUCGGCUGUCACUUAUGGAUGGACCCGCGUCGCAUUAACUAGUUGGUGAGGUAACGGCUCACCAAGGCAACGAUGCGUAGCCGACCUGAGAGGGUGAUCGGCCACACUGGGACUGAGACACGGCCCAGACUCCUACGGGAGGCAGCAGUAGGGAAUCUUCCGCAAUGGACGAAAGUCUGACGGAGCAACGCCGCGUGAGUGAUGAAGGCUUUCGGGUCGUAAAACUCUGUUGUUAGGGAAGAACAAGUGCUAGUUGAAUAAGCUGGCACCUUGACGGUACCUAACCAGAAAGCCACGGCUAACUACGUGCCAGCAGCCGCGGUAA